rnacentral:rRNA from 1 species
GACGAACGCUGGCGGCGUGCCUAAUACAUGCAAGUAGGACGCAGUUGCGAACGGGUGAGUAAAGCGUAGGUAACUGCCUAUUAGAGGGGGAUAACUAUUGGAAACGAUAGCUAAUACCGCAUACUAGUAGAUGGACCUGCGUUGUAUUAGCUAGUAGGUAGGGUAAUGGCCUACCUAGGCAAAGAUACAUAGCCGACCUGGGUGGGUGAUCGGCCAAAAUCGGACUGAGACACGGCCCAGACUCCUCCGGGAGGCAGCAGUAGGGAAUCUUCGGCAAUGGGGGGAACCCUGACCAAGGAACGCCGCGUGAGUGAAGAAGGUUUUCUGAUCGUAAAGCUCUGUUGUUAAGGAAGCGGUACUUAACCAGAAAGGGACGUCUAACUACGUGCCAGCAGCCGCGGUAAUAC